rnacentral:rRNA from 1 species
GACGAACGCUGGCGGCGUGCCUAAUACAUGCAAGUCGAGCGAGACUCAUCGGAGUCUAGCGGCGGACGGGUGAGUAACACGUGGGCAACCUGCCUGUAAGACUGGGAUAACACCGGGAAACCGGUGCUAAUACCGGAUAAUCCUUUUCCUCUCAUGAGGAAAAGCUGAAAGUCGGUUUCGGCUGACACUUACAGAUGGGCCUGCGGCGCAUUAGCUAGUUGGUGAGGUAACGGCUCACCAAGGCGACGAUGCGUAGCCGACCUGAGAGGGUGAUCGGCCACACUGGGACUGAGACACGGCCCAGACUCCUACGGGAGGCAGCAGUAGGGAAUCUUCCACAAUGGACGAAAGUCUGAUGGAGCAACGCCGCGUGAGCGAUGAAGGCCUUCGGGUCGUAAAGCUCUGUUGUUAGGGAAGAACAAGUACCGGAGUAACUGCCGGUACCUUGACGGUACCUAACCAGAAAGCCACGGCUAACUACGUGCCAGCAGCCGCGGUAAGAC